AAAUCCUCCAGAAUGCUGUCAGCCCCUUGCUAAGGCCCCAGGAGGGUGGAGGCACUCUGGCUGAUGGAUAUAGAGAAGCACACAGGGCUGUGGCAAUACAGUGCAGAGAUCAUCAAGAUCUUUUUCUGGAAUUAUUCAGAUAAGUUGGACUUAUUUUGGACUCGUGUUGGACAGUUGGCUGUAGCAGUGGGAUUGAAACAACCUCCCCCUCUUCCCUCACAUUGGUCAGGAAAUCAAGCUUGCUGACAUCCUGCCUGUAGGAAACACUGCUGAUGGACACAAGACAAAAGGAGACACCACAGCGCAGAAAACACCACUGGUGCCCAAUGGCAAACAGACACCCUGGAGCUGGAAAAACAAAAGCCACAGCCCUAAUGAGGGGAGGAAGUGAGCACAAAGAGGAAAGGCAUCGCCAACAUCCUGACCCCUGCCACAUCAAACAAUGUUGCCUUUGUUAGGAGCUUCUGGUUCAGCCCUGCUUUCACUGAAUUCACAGGGAUUUCAUCACUGAAUUCAACAGGAAAAGAGCAGGGUUCUGUGCAGAGCAAAACCAAAAUUAUCCUCCUUCCUAAACAAGAACUAUGGCCAUGCUGUUGUUAUGUAGAGAGUUGAAAAUGAAAUCCUUGCAAAAGUGGACUGGAGACCAGGCUCAUGCCUUGGGGUAAUUGCCAGCUGUGCCAUCUGAAAAAAAGCACACCAAAAUCCAGAUCCAAGAUGGCACCAUUGGAGGCAGUGAUGACAACUCACAGAACUGCUGACUGAAGGAGAGCUGUUUCACUGAAAACACUGAACAAGACCAAUUCCUCAGGUAACUGCGAUUCCUCAGGAGGCUGUAGGAAAGCCUUUUGUCAUCAAUACUUCUCUACAUCUUGCAGUUUGUCAGUGUAUAAUGUAUUGAGUUUUGAUUUAAAACAACAAACAAACAAACAAACAAACAAGAGUCAAAAGGAAUAAGGAUUUCUCCUGGAAUCAAAUGCAUAUCUUACUUCCAAGAAUUGCACUUUUCCAGAAAGGGAACAAGAAGACUGGGAACUUGCUCCAAGGAGUUUUAUCCUUUGCACAUCCAAUGAAAGGAAUCCAAAUCUAAAAAUACUUCAUAUUGCAGCCUACUUAUUGCCAAGAAUUCUCAGUCUCUCUGCAUCCACUUUAUUGUUUUUGGCACAGCGGGCACUUCCACUCUAUGCUAUUGUUAUUUGAGCAGUCUGAAACGAGGAAAGUAAUACCAACUCUAUCUCUAUGUUAAUUCUCUCCAGCAAUGCUGUUGCCAUAGUGAGGUUAUACAUGGAUUUAAAUGGGCGCAUGCAAAUUGAAAUCUAUCAGCUCUUAAAACCAGUUCAGUGUGUUUACUGUUUACAAGUCCUGCAUAUGCCUUCCAGAUUCCUUGAAAACUUUGGAAACGUCACAAUCUUGUCUUCUGUAUGUAAGAAAUGUUUCUCUGAUUAUAUCAUGAAAAAAAAAUAAUUCACUCUUUUCUAAUAUGAAAGAAUGGAUAUGGCAGUGCACAGCAUCUUGUCAAAUAUGUAAACAGAAUCACAGAAUUGCAGGGGUUGGAAAGGACCUCAAGAGAUCAAGUCCAACCUCUUGCUAAAGAUCACACAGGCAGGGGUCCAGAGGGGUCUUGAAUAUCACCAAAGAAGGAGACUCCACAACCUCUUUGUGCAAUCUCCUCCUUCUUGCCCUUUUUGCAGACAGCAGUGACAUUGGCCGUCUUCCAGUCUUCACGCUCAACUCCCGUUUGCCAAGACCUUGCAAAGAUGAUAGUUGUUCAGCAGCCACCUCUGCCUUUCCCUCAGCACACGUGGGUGCAUCCACAAUCCAAAACCUGAUUUUCUUUCCCUCUUUGUAGCAUUCAUUUCUUACACGUUAUUUUCAGAUACCUACAAAAUAAGUUCCAAUUAAAUAAUACUUGGUUAAAAAGGUGCUACCACACAUCAAAUCUGUAUUUAUAUACACAUGUAUGCAUACAUACACAUAUAUCUGUCUCUAUUCAUCACCAGCUAUUUGAGUCAAAACAUUUCACAAAUAGCAAGGUCUCUACAAUGUGUUUUGUUUGUGUGAUGAUCUGUGAAAUAUGCAUUGAAGUUUUUUAGGCUUUGAGUAUAUGAAAAAACACUACCUUUUCAAAUAUUGUGUAAAAAAAUUAAAAUGGGAUUUUAUCCAAUUUUGAAUGCUUGAUAAUUAUGCUAUCAGAAUA